GACAGGAGGCAGUGUUGACACAGGGAGGGCCUGGUCUCUACUAAACUGACCAGGAAACCAAUGGCAGGGGUGUGUCUGUGUGUGUGUGUGUGUGUGUGUCUGUGUGUGUCUGCUGUGUGUCUGUGUGUGUCUCUGUGUAUGUGUGUGUAUGUGUCUGUGUGUCUGUGUGUGUGUCUCUGUGUAUGUGUGUGUAUGUGUCUGUGUGUGUGUCUGUGUGUUGUGUGUCUGUGUCUGUGUGUCUCUGUGUGUGUCUAUGUGUCUCUGUGGUGUGUCUGUGUGUAUGUGUGUCUCUGUGUGUGUGUCUGUCUGUGUGUGUGUGUCUGUGGGUGUGUCUGUGUCUCUGUGUGUAUAUGUCUGUGUGUGUCUGUGUCUGUGUGUGUCUGUGUGUGUCUGUGUGUGUUGUGUCUGUAUCUCUGUGUGUCUGUGUCUCUGUGUGUGUGUCUGUGUUGUGUCUGUGUGUGUCUGUGUGUGUCUCUGUGUCUGUGUGUGUCUGUGUCUCUGUGUGUAUGUGUGUAUGUGUCUGUGUGUGUCUCUGUGUGUAUGUGUGUGUGUGUUGUUUGUGUGUGUGUGUGUGGUUUUGGGGUUUGAGGUUUUUUGUUUGGUUUGGUAUUUUUUUAUUUGUUGUUUUGUUUUCCUUUUUGAGACCGAGUCUCACUCUGUCACCCAGGCUGGAGUGCAGUGGCAUGAUCUCAACUCACUGAAACCUCCACCUACUGGGUUCAAGCAUCUCCUGCCUCAACCUCCUGAGUAGCUGGGAUUACAGGCAUGUGCCACCACGCCCAGCUAAUAUUUGUAUUUUUAGUAGAGACGGUGUUUUGCCGUGUUGGCCAGGCUGGUCUCAAACUCUUGAGCUCAGGUAAUAUGCCCGCCUUGGCCUCCCAUAGUGCUGGGAUUACAGGCGUGAGCCACCAUGCCUGGCCACCAAAGCAAUUUUAAUUUUAAAAAUAAGAUUGACUGGCUUUAUUGUGUCCUGAGCUGGAGAAAUACUCCAUUAUCCAGAGUUUGUCAUAAAAAUCCAUGUCAUAGAAUGUCACAGAAAUCCAUCAGGAAAAAAUCAAUCGGAAGUCAAAACUGUCUAAAAUGAAAGGAAAACUAUGAAAUUUAGCAUGGGAAAUGGAUUGACCAAGUAUGUCCCUGCUCCCAAAGCUGCUUGUCUUAAUGAGCUCCCAGAAAUAAAACUACUCUGGGGACAGGGUUUUUUGUAAACCAAGAAGCAGCUCUGGAUUGGAAAAAUCUUCAAAGAAGGGACAUCCCUGUUGGAUCCACCACUAAGGAGGGCACAGACAGCUGGGAACUGAGGCGUGGAGGCAGCACCAGAACGCAGAAUGAGCCUGAGCCUGGGAACAGGUCACUCCUGCCGGGGAGAAAGCCCUGAGGCCUCUGGAGAUGAACUCUGCCUCUUGUUCCUCAGAAAUGAAAACAGGCCGGGCGCGGUGGCUCACGCCUGUAAUCCCAGCACUUUGGGAGGCCAAGGUGGGCGGAUCAUUUGAGGUCAGGAGUUCCAGACCAACCUGACCAACAUGGUGGAACCCCCCCGCCCCCCACUGCCCUGUCUCUACUAAAAAUCCAAAAAAAUUUGCUGGGCAUGGUGGCAUGCACCUGUAAUCCCAGCCAUUCUGGACGCUGAGGCAGGAGAAUCACUUAAACUCAGGAGGUGGAGGUUGCAGUGAGCUGAGAUCGCACCACUGCACUCCAGCCUGGGAGACACAGUGAGACUCCAUCACAUACAUACAUACAUACAUACAUACAUACAUACAUGUACCAUCUUCCUGGAGGCCAUGUUAGAAAUAUGUACCAAAAGUCUUAAAAUGCUCAUUCCCAGUAAUUUCCCUUCUAAGAUAUAUCCCAAGGAUGUAAUUAAAGAUAUACAAAGGACUUGGAGGGAAAGAUCUUCACCCGGAGUUAUUUAUAAGAGGAAAAGGUGCAAACACCCUCCAUGCCCAACACUGGAGGACUGUCAAUCAGAUUAAAACCCAGGGGACUGAGACAAACUAUCCAAUCAGAUCAAACCCAGACCACAGGGAAAAACUAAUCAGAUGAAAUCCAGACCACAGGGAAAAUAGGUUCUCUCUCUUUUUUUUUUUUUUUCCCAGAAACAGAGUCUUGCUGUGUCACCAGGCUGGAGCACAGUGGCACGACCCUGGCUCACUCAUUGCCACCUCAGCCUCCCAAGUUCAAACGAUUCUCCUGCCUCAGUCUCCUGAGUAGCUGGGAUUACAGGUAUGCACCACGAUGCCCGGCUG
ensembl:lincRNA